GGCUGGUCCAGUGGUAGUGGGUUAUCAGAACUUAUUAACAUUAGUGUCACUAAAGUUAGUAUACAACCCCCCUGCUAAAUUUGAUUGGCUUUUA
rnacentral:Y_RNA from 1 species